GCUAACUACGUGCCAGCAGCCGCGGUAAUACGUAGGGCGCAAGCGUUAUCCGGAAUUAUUGGGCGUAAAGAGCUCGUAGGCGGUUUGUCGCGUCUGCCGUGAAAGUCCGGGGCUCAACUCCGGAUCUGCGGUGGGUACGGGUAGACUAGAGUGAUGUAGGGGAGACUGAAUUCCUGGUGUAGCGGUGAAAUGCGCAGAUAUCAGGAGGAACACCGAUGGCGAAGGCUGGUCUCUGGGCAUUAACUGACGCUGAGAAGCGAAAGCAUGGGGAGCGAACAGGAUUAGAUACCCUGGUAGUCCAUGCCGUAAACGUUGGGCACUAGGUGUGGGGGACAUUCCACGUUUUCCGCGCCGUAGCUAACGCAUUAAGUGCCCCGCCUGGGGAGUACGGCCGCAAGGCUAAAACUCAAAGGAAUUGACGGGGGCCCGCACAAGCGGCGGAGCAUGCGGAUUAAUUCGAUGCAACGCGAAGAACCUUACCAAGGCUUGACAU
rnacentral:rRNA from 1 species